rnacentral:rRNA from 1 species
UACGAAGGGGGCGAGCGUUGUUCGGAAUUACUGGGCGUAAAGGGCGCGCAGGCGGCCUUAGAAGUCAGAUGUGAAAGCCCCGGGCUCAACCUGGGAAUGGCAUUUGAUACUCUGAGGCUGGAGUACGGGAGAGGAGAGUGGAAUUCCCAGUGUAGAGGUGAAAUUCGUAGAUAUUGGGAAGAACACCGGUGGCGAAGGCGGCUCUCUGGACCGUAACUGACGCUGAGGCGCGAAAAGCGUGGG